GAUGAACGCUGGCGGCGUGCCUAAUACAUGCAAGUCGAGCGAACAGACGAGGAGCUUGCUCCUCUGACGUUAGCGGCGGACGGGUGAGUAACACGUGGAUAACUUACCUAUAAGACUGGGAUAACUUCGGGAAACCGGAGCUAAUACCGGAUAAUAUAUUGAACCGCAUGGUUCAAUAGUGAAAGACGGUUUUGCUGUCACUUAUAGAUGGAUCCGCGCCGCAUUAGCUAGUUGGUAAGGUAACGGCUUACCAAGGCAACGAUGCGUAGCCGACCUGAGAGGGUGAUCGGCCACACUGGAACUGAGACACGGUCCAGACUCCUACGGGAGGCAGCAGUAGGGAAUCUUCCGCAAUGGGCGAAAGCUUGACGGAGCAACGCCGCGUGAGUGAUGAAGGUCUUCGGAUCGUAAAACUCUGUUAUUAGGGAAGAACAAAUGUGUAAGUAACUAUGCACGGCUUGACGGUACCUAAUCAGAAAGCCACGGCUAACUACGUG
rnacentral:rRNA from 1 species